GUCAGGAUUUAUUUAUUUUGGCUCAUUUGUGGUCACAGCUGGGCAAUCACACCUUCUUCCAUUCUGGUCUUAAUUCCACAUCCACACACUCAAGUCACACAUCACACUUCACAAGGAUAUACAGAUAGGUCACAGAAAGACCGAGAAACAGUUAAGACAGCUGUGGGGUCACAGGAUGCUGAGUCCAGGGCACAGGCAGAGAGAGGACUGCAGAGUCGCAGGGCCACUGCAGGUGGUCAGAUGAGGGCGGUCAAGGCAGGGGUUCCCGACAGCCUACAGUGUCAGGCCGUGUCAGCUUAGAGUGUCAGUUCAAGGCUCGGAGUGGGACUUGGGUGGGGGUCAGGGGACUCCUCUAAAACCGGAGGAUGAGCUUCAGAAGUUUGUUGCUGUGGCAAUUUUCCUGGGCAAACCUUGGUGACCAGGUGACCAGGCGACGGGGUGAAGGUGCCUCCAUGUCCACCCCUGAGGUGUUCCCCUUUUAUGGACCUCGAGGGAGGGCUUGAUUCGUUUGGUGAUCUGGUGUGUUCAAUAGCCCAAGAGACUGGUUUUUCACGCCUUCUGUCAGGACACAGGUGGUCACUUUUACUGAACAACUAAUUUAUUCUCAGUUUGUGCCUAAAUCGUGGUGCCAGGGAGAAGGUGUUGUUCACUUGAAAAAGCACAGUACGGAGUCAUCCACCAAUGCAAAAUGAAACAGCUCAUGGCAAACUACCACCUAACAAGAUGGAGGACUAAGGUUUAGGCACAAUGUAAGAACUGUCCACACCCCAAGGGGGCACGGAGCACAGGUGAAACAUGAGGACUGCUGUACACCAUGGAGUCACUAGGCAGGUGCGUCAUGAGAGUUGCUGUUCCACACACCACAGAGUCACCCAGGGCAGUCUCCGCCUGAGGUCUGCUGUUGCACACACCAUGGAGUCACAAGGGCAGACACGGCCGGCUGGAGAGUUGCUCUUCUACACACCAUGGAGACACCCUGAUCAGGCACAGCUGACAGUCGCUGACCCAUACACCAUGGAGACACCCUGAUCAGGCACAGCUGACAGUCGCUGACCCAUACACCAUGGAGUCACCCUGAUCAGGCACAGCUGACAGUCACUGACCCAUACACCAUGGAGACACCCUGGUCAGGCACAGCUGACAGUCGCUGACCCAUACACCAUGGAGUCACCCUGGUCAGGCACAGCUGACAGUCACUGACCCAUACACCAUGGAGACACCCUGAUCAGGCACAGCUGACAAUGGCUGACCCAUACACCAUGGAGUCACCCUGGUCAGGCACAGCUGACAGUCGCUGACC
rnacentral:lncRNA from 1 species